GGCCCCGUAGUUCAGUCGGUCAAGACGCACCCCUAGCAAGGGUGAAACCCCGGUUCGAUCCCGGGCGGGGCCU
rnacentral:tRNA from 1 species